CCUACGGGAGGCAGCAGUAGGGAAUCUUCCGCAAUGGACGAAAGUCUGACGGAGCAACGCCGCGUGAGUGAUGAAGGCUUUCGGGUCGUAAAACUCUGUUGUUAGGGAAGAACAAGUGCUAGUUGAAUAAGCUGGCACCUUGACGGUACCUAACCAGAAAGCCACGGCUAACUACGUGCCAGCAGCCGCGGUAAUACGUAGGUGGCAAGCGUUAUCCGGAAUUAUUGGGCGUAAAGCGCGCGCAGGUGGUUUCUUAAGUCUGAUGUGAAAGCCCACGGCACAACCGUGGAGGGUCAUUGGAAACUGGGAGACUUGAGUGCAGAAGAGGAAAGUGGAAUUCCAUGUGUAGCGGUGAAAUGCGUAGAGAUAUGGAGGAACACCAGUGGCGAAGGCGACUUUCUGGUCUGUAACUGACACUGAGGCGCGAAAGCGUGGGGAGCAAACAGGAUUAGAUACCCUGGUAGUCCACGCCGUAAACGAUGAGUGUUAAGUGUUAGAGGGUUUCCGCCCUUUAGUGCUGAAGUUAACGCAUUAAGCACUCCGCCUGGGGAGUACGGCCGCAAGGCUGAAACUCAAAGGAAUUGACGGA
rnacentral:rRNA from 1 species